rnacentral:rRNA from 1 species
AUUGAACGCUGGCGGCAGGCUUAACACAUGCAAGUCGAGCGGGGGAAGGUAGCUUGCUACUGGACCUAGCGGCGGACGGGUGAGUAAUGCUUAGGAAUCUGCCUAUUAGUGGGGGACAACAUCUCGAAAGGGAUGCUAAUACCGCAUACGUCCUACGGGAGAAAGCAGGGGAUCUUCGGACCUUGCGCUACUAGAUGAGCCUAAGUCGGAUUAGCUAGUUGGUGGGGUAAAGGCCUACCAAGGCGACGAUCUGUAGCGGGUCUGAGAGGAUGAUCCGCCACACUGGGACUGAGACACGGCCCAGACUCCUACGGGAGGCAGCAGUGGGGAAUAUUGGACAAUGGGGGGAACCCUGUUCCAGCCAUGCCGCGUGUGUGAAGAAGGCCUUAUGGUUGUAAAGCACUUUAAGCGAGGAGGAGGCUACUCUAGUUAAUACCUAGGGAUAGUGGACGUUACUCGCAGAAUAAGCACCGGCUAACUCUGUGCCAGCCGCCGCCGUAA